CACACUGGGACUGAGACACGGCCCAGACUCCUACGGGAGGCAGCAGUGGGGAAUUUUGGACAAUGGGCGCAAGCCUGAUCCAGCAAUGCCGCGUGCAGGAUGAAGGCCUUCGGGUUGUAAACUGCUUUUGUACGGAACGAAAAGCCCUGGGUUAAUACCCUGGGGUCAUGACGGUACCGUAAGAAUAAGCACCGGCUAACUACGUGCCAGCCGCCGCCGUAAGAC
rnacentral:rRNA from 1 species